rnacentral:rRNA from 1 species
AACGAACGCUGGCGGCAGGCUUAACACAUGCAAGUCGAGCGCCCCGCAAGGGGAGCGGCAGACGGGUGAGUAACGCGUGGGAAUCUACCCAUCUCUACGGAAUAACGCAUGGAAACGUGUGCUAAUACCGUAUACGUCCUUCGGGAGAGAGAUUUAUCGGAGACGGAUGAGCCCGCGUUGGAUUAGCUAGUUGGUGGGGUAAAGGCCUACCAAGGCGACGAUCCAUAGCUGGUCUGAGAGGAUGAUCAGCCACACUGGGACUGAGACACGGCCCAGACUCCUACGGGAGGCAGCAGUGGGGAAUAUUGGACAAUGGGCGCAAGCCUGAUCCAGCCAUGCUGCGUGAGUGAUGAAGGCCCUAGGGUUGUAAAGCUCUUUCACCGGUGAAGAUAAUGACGGUAACCGGAGAAGAAGCCCCGGCUAACUUCGUGCCAGCCGCCGCCGUAAAAC